CUUUAUUGGAGAGUUUGAUCCUGGCUCAGGAUGAACGCUGGCGGCGUGCCUAAUACAUGCAAGUCGAGCGAAUGGAUUAAGAGCUUGCUCUUAUGAAGUUAGCGGCGGACGGGUGAGUAACACGUGGGUAACCUGCCCAUAAGACUGGGAUAACUCCGGGAAACCGGGGCUAAUACCGG
rnacentral:rRNA from 3 species